GAUUGGCUUGUGCGUGGCACGCAGCUUCUGAACUCUCGGAGGAACUCAGUUGAUUUCCCCCAGUUCCAUAGUUGAAGAAGUGCAAAUUGGUGGACAUCACCGUGUUCAUUUAAAUGCGUGAGAAAUACAAUGUGUGGUGUGUGAGCGUGUGAACGAGUGGGAAUGCGUGUGUCAUACGCUGAAUGCGUGAGACUUGAGAGCCCUGUGCUCACGCAUCAUCGAUGUACUCCCGAGCCAUGCAAAACGGUCUUUGCAAAUGUUGCACUGAACGCCUUCCUUUUCAGUCUUGGUGAAGUUUUCCCACACCACUGAUGUUUUAGGUCGGGAUUUGGGUUGGGUUGUGUCCAUGUUUUUCUCAGCCGCUGCCUCGGCCAUGGCUGUUUC